UCUUUAAUUGAUUUCCAAUUUCACAUAAUUUCUCUCUCUAAAACUAUACAAAUUUUCUUUUUAAUGGUUCUCAAAUUUCAUCAUGCUUCAUUAAUCCAAGUCUAUUUGAGAUGGAAGAAAAUCUCAAAGGUAGAUGGAAAGCUAUUGGAAAAGCAUGACACCAACAAAGGGUUAUUAUAAUCGAAAAUAUCAAGCAAAUCUGAGGGGAUGUGUAGUGAUGGAUCAUUGUAAAAUGGAGCAAAACAAAGCAAUGUGAGACUUAGAGCAUGUGUCUUCAUCUUUGUGUGAGAUAUGAUAUGUUUAAGUUAUAGUGAAAUACUUUAUUCUAAAUGUUCCAAAACGAUAUGAACUUGAUGAUCACGCCUCAGUGAGCUUCUCUUUUCUAUAUUUUUUUAUAUUUAUUCUAGAUUGUACAUCACUUCAUGUACUUAAAUAAUGAUUGCAUUGAUAUUAAUCUACAAGGUUUUGUCA